GUGUGGAGCAGGUUAUAGCUACUCCUCUCACCUCCUUGAUCUGCUGGCAUUGCCCUGGCUGAUAUGAAUGGCUAGGUAGCUGGUACCCACUCCUGCCCACCCACAUGGGCUCCUGAAAGCUGUGUGCUUCACUGAUGAGGUUGAAUGACUGAGCUGAAUCUUUGAUCAAAGCUUACUGACUAACUGAGUUCCUCUGUUGGAAAUCACAUUAAAAGCAGUUCCAACUCUUUAGAGGAAAAUGAACCCUCUUACCUGCUGAUUACAUAGUCUUAUGACCAUGCUACAAAAACAGCAUGAGCACCAACUGCAUCUGCAGAGUGUGUGUCA
ensembl:misc_RNA 7SK 7SK RNA